rnacentral:rRNA from 1 species
GACGAACGCUGGCGGCGUGCUUAACACAUGCAAGUCGAGCGGUAAGGCCCUUUCGGGGGUACGACGAGCGGCGAACGGGUUGAGUAACACGUGGGUGACCUGCCCUCAGCUCUGGGAUAAGCCUGGGAAACCGGGUCUAAUACUGGAUAUGACUCCAUGACGCAUGUUGUGGGGUGGAAAGCCUUGUGCGGCUGAGGAUGGGCCCGCGGCCUAUCAGCUUGUUGGUGGGGUGAGGCCUACCAAGGCGACGAUGGGUAGCCGGCCUGAGAGGGCGACCGGCCACACUGGGACUGAGACACGGCCCAGACUCCUACGGGAGGCAGCAGUGGGGAAUCUUGCGCAAUGGGCGAAAGCCUGACGCAGCGACGCCGCGUGAGGGAUGAC